rnacentral:rRNA from 1 species
AUAUAGUUUACUUUGAAAAAAUUAGGGUGUUUAAAGCAGGCGAAAAGGCUUCGGAAUAUAUUAGCAUGGGAUAAUAGAAUACUCAAGACGAACUAAUGCGAAAGCAUUCGGCAAGGAUGUUUUCAUUAAUCAAGAACGAAAGUUGGGGGAUCGAAGAUGAUCAGAUACCGUCGUAGUCUCAACUGUAAACUAUGUCGACCGAGGAUCCGGUAGCGUUACAUGGAUGACCUUCCGGGCACUCUGUGAGAAAUCACAAGUAUUUGGAUUUCGGGGGGAGUAUGGUCGCAAGGCUGAAACUUAAAGGGAUUGACGGAAGGGCACCACCAGGAGUGGAAUCUGCGGCUUAAUUUGACCCAACACGGGGAAACUUACCAGGUCCGGACACAGUGAGGAUAGACUGAUUGAGAGCUCUUUCUUGAUUCUGUGGGUGGUGGUGCAUGGCCGUUUUUAGUUGGUGGAGUGAUUUGUCUGGUUAAUUCCGUUAACGAACGAGACCUUAACCUAUUAAUUAGUGACGCGAAUUUGGUGGCAACACCAGUCGAUUCGUGGGCGCACUUCUUAGAGGGACUCUCGGCAUCUCUAGCCGAUGGAAGUUUGAGGCAAAAACAGGUCUGUGAUGCCCUUAGAUGUUCUGGGCCACACGCGCGUUACACUGACAUAUUCAACGAGCAUUUUCCUGACCCGAUGGGGUUGGGUAAUCUUUUAAAUGUAUGUCGUGCUGGGGAUAGAUCAUUGUAAUUAUUGGUCUUGAACGAGGAAUUCCUAGUAAGUGCAAGUCAUCAACUUGCGCUGAUUACGUCCCUGCCCUUUGUACACACCGCCCGUCGCUCCUACCGAUUGAAUGGUCCGGUGAAGUGUUCGGAU